AUUAAGAGAAGAUAAAAGAGCAACAAACAAUGGCAAAAUUAAUCCGUGGGGCAACUCGACUCGACUUGACGUACCACAAGUUUACAUAACAUUUCAAAGCAUAAAGGUAUAACAGAACCUUUACAUAGCAGAUAUAAAAUAAGAGAAGAAUUUGUUGUAGUGAAUUGAGUCACCUCAAGGCCACACUCUCUUGAAUGCGAAACAACCUAAACAUUAAAGAACUUGAUGUUUCGACGAAGGAGAAGAAAUAGAAGCUAAAAGAAGAAGAAGAAAUCGAAGCGGUGGAACUUGAAAGAAGCCACCGAGUUCUGAAGUUUUAGUAAUUGAAAGUCUUGACGUGGGCUGUGGCCAAAUAUUUUGUUUUCUAAGAAAAUAAUAAAGAAAACUUAAUCACAAAGGCGAAGGCGACUGCAUGAUUGAAGAGCCUCGCCUUGGCAUUCCAAGAGGCUCAUAGGCCCCUCGGCGCCUCGCCUCGCCUCUCACCUUAGGCGCGUGCCUGGGGUCGCAUCAAUUUGACACACAUGGAAGAAAAGAGUGACGAGAGGCACUCACUGAAAUCAUGGUGGAGACCCAUUGUCUGCGAGACUCAGCGUUGAUUCCGAUUACUGUUCUUUUAGGCCUCCUGUAAAUGGUGAUUAUGAGCCAAAGAUGGUAGCUCACCAGCACCGCAAAGCCAAGCGGAACCAUUAAAUAUUCAAGACCUUUCACUUCCAUCCUUC